GUGUUCAGACAUAUUCCUGUUUAACCCUUAGAUGCAUAAGUGGGGUCAAAAAUGACCCCAAGGGUUGUUAUUCUUCAAAAUCUUUUAAAUUAAAAGUAUUUAUAUUUUCAUAUUCCAGGUAUUCCUCAUAAAACAUGUUUGUGACAUGAGGCCAUUGCAAUUUUAAAUUUUUUUUUCACACUUUUCAAGAAAUUGCAGUUUUUCUAUGACUACCCCACUUUUCCAUGAGCGGGGUCAAAAAUGACCCCAUACAUUUCCUAUGAAAUCUGAAGUUAGCCCAGGAACCUUUGAUCCUUAUCAACUGUGAUUGUCAGUAUACACUUACUGUUGCACUUACACAUCUGAUGCUAGCAGUUUCACCACCAAGGAGGUCAUUUCUACACAGCAACAUACAUGUAAGUAUUAUCUUCAUUUAUCUACUUUUUUUUUUCUGAGUAUUAGUAUUAUUGUCAGCAAAUUAGCCUAUUUUGUUGUUAGCUAGUUAGCUUACU